rnacentral:lncRNA from 1 species
AUGUAAACUACUACAUAUUUAUAAUUUUUAAAUAGUAUAGGACAUCAACUCUAUCUCAACCCCUACAAUCUAGAUACUAAACUUUAUCUCAACCCCACCCCAAACCCUAAAUACUAAACCCUAAACCCUAAUCAGUGAACCAUAAACCCAAAUAUAAACCAUAAACCCAAAUAGAAUGGAACAAAAUAAAUAGCAUAGUACAUACUGGUGAAAUUAUGAAAUAUAUAUGAUUGCAUGAAAGAAGUCAAUGAUGACUCCAACCAUAACUCCU